rnacentral:rRNA from 1 species
UACGUAGGUGGCAAGCGUUGUCCGGAUUUACUGGGCGUAAAGGGUGCGUAGGCGGUCGGGUAAGUCUGACGUGAAAUCUUCAAGCUCAACUUGGAAACUGCGUCGGAUACUAUUCGGCUGGAGGAAUGGAGGGGAGACUGGAAUACUUGGUGUAGCAGUGAAAUGCGUAGAUAUCAAGUGGAACACCAGUGGCGAAGGCGAGUCUCUGGACAUUUCCUGACGCUGAGGCACGAAAGCCAGGGGAGCAAACGGG